CAUGGUGAUUUAUAUCCAAGAAAUUCCUUUUUUCUUGGCCCCAAGACAAUAAUUUUCUUCUAUGUGCAUUUAUGAACACAUCACAUGCAAUGACGUGGUGGCCUAGAGUUUAAGGACGCCCACUUCUCAAACACGAGGGUUCGAAUGUGUUAUUUAUUGAUAUCGAAAUAAUAUAUUUAAUUCAAGUACUAGCGCCAUCUGGUGGUAACACUGAAUAAUUAGGUUAUGGCUAAAAUAACAUUUGUCCAAGUUUAUGAUAUUUUUUUUAUCUAUGCUCUCUCUGUUCUCUGUAUUCCGUUGUGUGUGAGAAAAUAUAAGCUGCGUGUUUUACUUACU